rnacentral:lncRNA from 1 species
UGCCAUGAACGGGUUCCAACUCCCAUCCCAGUCACCCCAAACCCAAGCAACCCCUCAGCCUUCUCCAACACUCCCAGAUCUCAUGGAGUGCCGCUCUGCUAGGAGAGAAUUCUAAAGGAAGCCUCAUGGGGACACGGGCAGGAGAGCAGGGAAGUAACACACAGGAAGAGGAGGAAGCGAGCACCUUCUCUUUUUGGACGUGCUGAUUUCUGAUUUCACCUGAUUCCUGGCGGCUAGAGCUGAGCCUGGAGGGCAGUGGGCCGCACAGCCACACCCAUACGUUCUGUGGGCCUUAGUUUUAUUGGCUGGGCUUUCCUGUAAGACUUAAUCUGCACAGAAAAGUAAGAAAAGCUUGAAACUCAAGGUGCUGACUAUGCUUCCCACCUCGUCUUCUGCACAGCCAGAGCUUCCCAACGGGCCUCUAUGGACCUGACUCCUGAAUCUCAGGCCCUGCACCUUCCACAAUCUGGUGCUCACUCACUAGCCUUCCGAAUCCUCCACGCUCCUUCGAUUCUAAGACGCACACGUGGACGCCUGUGAACCUUGCUGCAGCUUCUAACUGGGAGCUGGGGUCGCUUGAUGGGCAGCAGCUUCACCCUCUUGGCGGCUGCAACACCAUCCGCGGCCUCCGGCCAUGGAUGAACACGUGCACUGCCGCCCUUACCCACAGACACACUCAAGUCCACAGGGAAGGGCACAUGGGGCAACCAGCCGAAUGCUCUAAAAUGGAUGGACCGUGAAAGCCUUUCAGACGUGAACCGAAAUACGAAGAAAAAGAAAAAAGGCUGCCUGGGGUUUGUCAAGUUGCAGCUGGCUGAACAACUUCAGUAGGGACUUGCUCCUGUAUAAAUCUGUCACUCACAUAACAACUUCAUCUUAAAAAAGCACUUAACACUCUAUAAUACCCAAUAUCUUUUAGAACGAGAUGCUUGACUUUUAUCAGGGUUUGUUUUAUAUUUGAGACUAUUAUUAUUUAGGUUAAGCAACGAUUCACAAAAACAAGAGAAAUUCCAUUUUCUAACCUAAAAUCUGUUAGGCAGGGAUGAGGCAUCUUCCCUAAGGCUAUCGCUACAAUGACAGACUUUUUAAAUAAGCUAAAAGUGAAGUCUUGCAUUAAGAUAGCCAUGACUCAACAAUUUGUUAAAAAAUCCUCCUGCUGGCCAGGCGUGGUGGCCCAUGCCUGUAAUCCCAGCACUUUGGGAGGCCGAGCCACUGCGCCUGGCCAAGGUAUAUGGUUCUUAAGUAGCAUUGUGUGAUAUUCUACUUCUGAGAUAAAAAUGCAAAAUUAUAAAUGUAUCAAACUGUGAAGAAAUAUUAACGAUAUACUUAUUAUUCACAAAAGGAUUUCUUACCAUCCCAAAUCAGAGAAAACAGGAUUUAAAAAAAUCUUUAACUACCUGGACAUAAUCAAAAUAAAGCUGCAACAGGUAUGUUUUGAUAAUGAAAUUGGUUAGCACCUGUCAAUUUUCCUCAUGUGGCCCAGGGACAGUCCUCCUCCAGGCUCCCCUUCCUGGGGGGCAGGGCCAGCACUUCCUGUGUACAGAUCUGCAGAGAGGGGAACCAGGGCCCACCAACCUCUAAACCAAAGUUCGUCACACAAAUUUAGAGACCAGACUUUGGAGAUGAUAAACUGUCCCUUUCAUCUGUUAGGAAACUCAGAGACAGGAAGGGCAAGGGACUGUAUUUAUAAGGAAAAGGCAGGACAAAUAUUUCAGACCCCAG